ACUUUCUCACAGCCUACUGCAUUGAAAGCUCCACCUACGUAAACACCUUCCCGUAAUCAACGGCGCCGUCACUACGAAUACCAGCGUUGCGCGCCGAGUUCAAGCGUAGGGUUCGGUUCCCUGGGAACACAUUCUAAGGUUCAGCAGAAACCCAACCCCGUCAAAAAGCCCAAUAUUCAGCCCAAUCCUGGAUUCGGUGCAUCCCUAGUUCAAAUAUUACAAGGCACUCAACAGUUCACCAUUGUUUUUUUUUUGGCCACUUCCAUAUCUGUCUGCAGCUGGUUAGCUUGGUUUAAGAUAAAGACGUGUGUGUGUGUGUGUGUGUGUGUGUGUGUGUGUGUCCGUGUGUCCGUGUCCAUCAGCACUUCUAAAAGCUGUGUUAAGCUAAAAAGUUAAGACCACAUAUCACGCUGGAGUCUUCUGGUCACAUAACCCCAAAUGUUGUUUUUUGUCCAGAUGUAACAAGCCAGAUAUGGAGGCUUGUCAGCGAGCUUUAGAGGGUUGUUACUUUUGGACAGAGCCAGUAGUAGCUGUUUCACCUUUUUAUGCUAAGCUAAGCUAAGCUUACCUGCUACAGCUUCAAGUUUAAACACUGGACGAGGAUGUGAACAUACGCAUGUUUCCCCAGAAUGGCAAUAGAGUCUUCCCUCUCUGCGGGAUCCAGUGCUUUUAAAGCCUCAGCUCACCUGAAACCUGCUCACCUGAGUACCCAGGUCAGAUCAGCUGCUCUGGAGACUACCUGACACAGAGGACCCAGGUCAGAUCAGCUGCUCUAGAGACUACCUGACACAGAGGACCCAGGUCAGAUCAGCUGCUCUGGAGACUACCUGACACAGAGGACCCAGGUCAGAUCAGCUGCUCUGGAGACUACCUGAAACAGAGGACCCAGGUCAGAUCAGCUGCUCUGGAGACUACCUGAAACAGAGGACCCAGGUCAGAUCAGCUGCUCUGGAGACACAUUCAGACCAUCAGAGAAUUUUCUGAUGAUGUUCAAAUAUUUUCACUUUACGGUUUUCUACUUUUUCUGACAAUUAGGAGCCUCUAUUUUAAAUGUACUGUUCUUACUGUUUAUUUAAAUAAAGUUGUACAUGUAGGGAUUAAA